UACGGGAGGCAGCAGUGAGGAAUAUUGCACAAUGGAGGAAACUCUGAUGCAGCCAUGCCGCGUGCAGGAAGACUGCCCUAUGGGUUGUAAACUGCUUUUAUACAGGAAGAAACACACCUACGUGUAGGUGCUUGACGGUACUGUAAGAAUAAGCACCGGCUAACUCCGUGCCAGCAGCCGCGGUAAU
rnacentral:rRNA from 1 species